GCUGAACUUCCCUGACGCUGUGUCUUCCAGCCCAGUGAGUCGUCUUCUCUAAUGACCGCAGGUCUUGGGCAUAUCCUGUUGGCCGAAGCUGAAAGGCUGUUCCAGGGCCAGGCACUUACAGUACUGAAGGACAGCAAUCAGAAGAGUGAACAUGGGCAGCAUCCAUGACCAAAUCCCCAUACAUGUUCAUGACCUGGGUGACGCAGAGAGUUACAGAUGUAAGAGAGUGCAAGCUCAGCACAAUCCCAAUACUAGGGCCUCCCAUUCAUCAAAUAAAAGAGUCAUAACUGUGAAUAUCUUCUCUAUACAGUGCAGACAAACAGAUGUUAAAGACUGUGCCAUCAUAAAAUGAUUGUGAAAGUAUUAUUAUAAAAUUAAUAUACUACAAAGAAAGAG
rnacentral:lncRNA from 1 species